ACAACGGGUGGAGCUUGCGGUUUAAUUGGAUUCAACGCCGGAAAUCUUACCGGGACCGACAGCAAUAUGAAGGCCAGGCUGAAGACUUUGCCGGAUUAGCUGAGAGGUGGUGCAUGGCCGUCGUCAGUUCGUACUGUGAAGCAUCCUGUUAAGUCAGGCAACGAGCGAGACCCACGCCCACAGUUGCCAGCGUACUCUCCGGAGUGACGGGUACACUGUGGGGACCGCCGCUGCUAAAGCGGAGGAAGGAAUGGGCAACGGUAGGUCAGUAUGCCCCGAAUAUCCCGGGCUACACGCGAGCUACAAUGGUUGGUACAAUGGGUAUCUACCCCGAAAGGGGACGGGAAUCUCCUAAAACCAAUCUUAGUUCGGAUUGAGGGCUGCAACUCGCCCUCAUGAAGCUGGAAUCCGUAGUAAUCGCGUUUCAACAGAACGCGGUGAAUACGUCCCUGCUCCUU
rnacentral:rRNA from 1 species